rnacentral:rRNA from 1 species
UCAAGAUAAGUAUUCUAAAAGGAAGCUUCGAGAAUAGGAGCUAGAUAGGUUGGGGGUGUACGCGCAGUAAUGUGUUUAGCUGACCAAUACUAAUCGAACGAAAUUUUAAUCA